CUGGCACCCAACCCAAGAACUGCCGCUGCCCUGUAGCGGCUGUUUAAACGGUGGUGCGCACAGCAAAGGGGCUUCGUCGCCUUUGGGGGGCUGUGCGGUGCCCCCCAGAGUGAAUCAGGAGGUUCUACAGUC